rnacentral:rRNA from 1 species
GACGGGCCCCGCACAAGCAGCGGAGCGUGUGGUUUAAUUCGAUGUUACACGAAGAACCUUACCAGGGUUUGACAUGCAAGUGGUAGGAAACCGAAAGGUGACCGACCUUCGGGAGCUUGCACAGGUGCUGCAUGGCUGUCGUCAGCUCGUGUCGUGAGAUGUUCGGUUAAGUCCGCUAACGAGCGCAACCCUCACUGUGUGUUAUAUGUGUCACACGGGACCGCCGGUCUUAAGCCGGAGGAAGGUGGGGAUGACGUCAAGUCAGCAUGGCCUUUAUAUCCUGGGCUACACACACGCUACAAUGGCCAACACAAUAGGUCGCUAAGCCGCGAGGUGGAGCCAAUCCAUAAAGUUGGUCUCAGUUCAGAUUGCAGGCUGCAACCCGCCUGCAUGAAGAUGGAGUUGCUAGUAACCGCAGGUCAGCUAUACUGCGGUGAAUACGUUCCCGGGGCUU